rnacentral:rRNA from 1 species
AGAACGAACGCUGGCGGCGUGGAUAAGACAUGCAAGUCGAGCGGAAUACUAUUUGUAGCAAUACAGGUAGUGUUCAGCGGCGCAAGGGUGCGUAACACGUGGGCAACCUGCCCGGAAAUGGGGGAUAGCUCGUCGAAAGGCGAAUUAAUACCGCAUGUGGCGAAGGGUGACAUCACCUUGUAGCCAAAGCUGGGGCAACCUAGCGUUUCCGGAUGGGCCCGCGGCCUAUCAGCUAGUUGGAGAGGUAACGGCUCCCCAAGGCUAUGACGGGUAGCUGGUCUGAGAGGACGACCAGCCACACUGGAACUGAGACACGGUCCAGACACCGUACGGGUGCAGCAGUCGAGUAAUUUUUUCACAAGUGGGGGAAACCCUGGAAGGAGCGACGCCGCGUGAAGGAUGAAGUCUCGAUCGUAACUUCUGUCAUUGUAGAACACGGACCCACGCAGUAACGUGGUGUUGG